rnacentral:rRNA from 1 species
GACGAACGCUGGCGGCGUGCUUAACACAUGCAAGUCGAACGAAGAGCGAUGGAAGCUUGCUUCUAUCAAUCUUAGUGGCGAACGGGUGAGUAACGCGUAAUCAACCUGCCCUUCAGAGGGGGACAACAGUUGGAAACGACUGCUAAUACCGCAUACGAUCUAAUCUCGGCAUCGAGGAUAGAUGAAAGGUGGCCUCUAUUUAUAAGCUAUCACUGAAGGAGGGGAUUGCGUCUGAUUAGCUAGUUGGAGGGGUAACGGCCCACCAAGGCGAUGAUCAGUAGCCGGUCUGAGAGGAUGAACGGCCACAUUGGGACUGAGACACGGCCCAGACUCCUACGGGUGGCAGCAGUGGGGAAUCUUCCGCAAUGGACGAAAGUCUGACGGAGCAACGCCGCGUGAGUGAUGACGGCCUUCGGGUUGUAAAGCUCUGUUAAUCGGGACGAAAGGCCUUCUUGCGAAUAGUGAGAAGGAUUGACGGUACCGGAAUAGAAAGCCACGGUA